AAUUUUUAAGAAAUAAUAUAAUACAACAACCGUCUGGAAUACAAUGUUGGAUAGAAAAUAAAUACAGUAAUCUGAAAGAGACUUGCUGGCUGCGGGUCGUCUAAAAAAGGUAGCUCACCUAAGUCUGUGUAUCAACCAUGCCGCUACGCUCACCAGGCCACCAAAGAUGCAUGUGCCUGUGCCAAAAAAUGCAUAGAAGCAUAGUAUGAGUACGAAAACAAUGUGUACCUAAUGAGUAUCCUGUCUAAUCUCGAAGAAUUAGAGACGAGAGGUCUAUUUCGACAUUUACUAGUGGUCUAAUAAUGUUAUAUCCAUAAUACAUUAAAUCAUGGAGUUUUUUAUAAACAUGAUUAUAAUUCGAUAGGUUGAAGUAAAUAAAUAAUUCUUUCUUUUAUAGGAAAUUUUUAAAUUCCUUUUCAUCAUUUAUACAUAUAUUCUUAAGCUAGGAAGAGGCAACAUUAACUUCAAUAAGUUUCAAGGCAAGCAAUACAAGCAUGUGAAAAUCAUGCCGAGGUCGUAUGGCUCGAUCCAAUAGAAAUAUAAAAUAUGCACUAUCGAGGAUCUAAUGGCGCGAACCGCAGAUGCAUCUAUUACCUUGCUCGCGAAUCAUACAUGCGACGUGGUCAAAUUUAAAUAAACAGUCACCGUGCUCGCGAAUCAUAUAUGCGACACAGGUACACAUAGAAAUACAUGCUCAAACAACCAAUUAAAAUUUGUCGGGGAACAUUUAUCCAAAUAAAAGCCAAUUUUCUUUUUUAACAAUUUAAGAAAAUGAAGCUUAAUCCUUUUAGAAAUUCAUUUACCAAUUCGAUAGGAUGUAAGCAAUUCAAAUGCCGAUAAGAGUAUAAAUAUUCAAAGUAUAGCAUGCUUUUGGGUCCUAGACUACCGGGUCAAUAGCAUAAUAGUAGCUAUGCACGGACUGUCGUCACCUCGCGCAUACGUAGCCCCUACAAAUAGGAACACAUAACCAAUUAACUCACUUAUGGGGACAAUUCCCUCUUACAAGAUUAUAAAGGAGACUCACCUCGCUCCAAAGAUCCAUGAUCAGCAUUCCACGCCCUUCCGAAGACCUGAAUCGAUGCAAAAUGUUCCAAAGCUAGCCAAUAAUCAUGCAAAUCUAUUAAUAUAUGUUCAACUACUCAUUAUGAUCCAAUUUAUAACAAUUCCUAAACCCAAUCGAAAAGUUAACAAAAAUGCCCUCGGGCCCAUGUAUCCGGAUUUCGAAAAUUUUCGAAGAUAAGGUUUACCCAUGAACUCACGAACUCAAAUAUGUGAUUUUCUCUUAAUUCCAUACCUAAAAUCGUGGUCAAAUUCCAAGAAGAUCAAUUUUUUAGAUUUUUCCUCAAACCCCAAGUUUUCUACAAAUUUUCAUAUCCAAACCCAUAUAUAAUAAUGUAUUUAACUCAAAACUAACAUAAAUUACUUACCUCAUGAUGAAUGAGGAACUGCCUCUUCAAAAGCUCCAAAAAUUGCCCAAACCAAGAGAAAAAAAUGGGAAAAAUGGCCUAGACCCGAAUAAAUAAAGGACACCGCCUUCUUCGAUUUUUUGAUAUGCAGUCUUGGGCCGCACCUACGACCACUGCUUCUGCGGAAGGAAGACCGCUUCUGCGGCCUGGGACGCUUUUGCGGUCUGGGGAGCUUCUGCUGGCAGGCGCACCGCUUCUACGAUUCUGCUUUUGUAGAUUUAGGGCCGCAUCUGCGGUUGUGGGCUGCCUGGCCUUGGGCCGCUUCUGCGAUCUUGCACCUACGGUCGACCAACUGCAGGUGCGGUUAUGACAGAAGCAGAUGCUUCAGCACUUCUUCGAAUUCCAUUUUCGCUCUAUUAGCCACCCGAAAUCCAACCAAGGCCGCUGGGACCCCAACCAGUCAUACCAAUCAGUCCCAAAAUACAUUACAGACUUGCUCGAGGCCUCAAAUCACUUCGAACAACAUCAAAGUCAUGGCUCCAAUCGAAGCUUUAUGAACAUUAGAACUUCAAACUUCUAUUAUCGAUGUUUAAACCUAUCCAUUCACAUCCGAUUGACCUCAAUAUUUGCAUAAAUGUCAUAUUUGACGUUACGGACCUACUCCAACUUCUGGAAUUGGAUUUCGACCUCGAUAUCAAAAAGUUCACUUCCAAACAAACUUCUCAAAAACCUUCAAUUUUCUACGUUUACCCAAAUGACUCCAAAAUGACGUGCGGACCUCCGAAUUCACUUUCGAUCGAGCUCCCAACUCCAAAAUCACCAUACGAAUCUAUUCCCAAACUAGAAAUCCUAAAUGUACAUUGAUAACACUGAAAUGCACUUCGAGCCAGACUUGUGAAAUUUCUUCGAAAAUGCUAACUUCCACAAUAGGUACCAAAAUGCUCCUGGGUCAUCCAAAACCCAAUCCGGGCAUAUUCCCAAGUCCGAAAUUAUCAUACAAACCUAUCAGAACCUUCAGAUAUCGAUUCUAAGGUCGUUUACUCAAAAACCCAAUCUUAGUUAAUUCUCCCAACUUAAAGCUCUGCAAUUAGAUUUCUCUUCCAAAUCAACUCUGAACUUCCAGAAAUUUAAUUCUGACCACGCGUGCAAGUCAUAAUACCUGAAGUGAUGCUGCUCAUGGAGUCAAGCUACUGAACAACAUGCUGGAGCUCAAAACGACCAGUCGGGUUGUUACAAGCUUGAUAUUGUUCUAGGGUUUAUUGGAAAUGUUAAAAAAAGAAAGUAAAAAAGUAUCAUCAUGGCUUGAUGAAUGCUGAAAAUGAAAGCAAUGAAUUACAAGAUUCUUCCAGAUUUUCAAAUGAAGAACAUUACAAAAGUAUUGAACAUCAACAUAGUGAAAGUAAUGAACAAGGAGAUUAUAUUGAUGGAGAGAAUAAUUCUGAUAGAGAUAUUGCUCAUUUGUAGGGUGACAAACUGGAUGAACAGGAGGAAGAUGUUGAGAUACCAAAAUAGGAUGAACAGUUUAAUUAGGAGUUAUAAGGAUGCAGGACCUUCUAUUUCAAUGGCACCAAUCAUGGAUAUUGAGUUCAUCCAUGAAGAGGAAAAUAAAGAAAUUGAUAAUGAAUAUCGAGCACAUUUUGAUUCAAUAACUUUAUCCAUGGAUAUUGAUUCAGUUCAUGGAGCACAAGUUACUGAAGAAGUUGUAGCCGUCAGUGAAAUUUUAUUAGAAGGUCCUUGUCAUGAAAUAAGACCAGAAUGUAAUGCUGUUGAACCAUUUCUGACGGAAGGUAAAGAUGAUAAAGCUAUGAUGGUUAAAAUAGUUGAUGGGAAACAAGAGCUUUCUACACCACAAUCUAGUGAAGAUAUUUUGCAAAAUACAGUAGCUGGAUCGUUAAUUCCAUCGGUCAUGAAUGUUAAAAAAAUCAUUGAUAAAGUUGAACUAGUUGUGGGAGGUUUAGUGAAAGGUUGUUGUGAUGAAGAUACUAUGAAAAAUAUUAGCAGGUGAUGGAAUUUCAGUCAAAGGUUUUUGUAAGGAAGAAAGAGGGGAAUGUAGUACACCCGAUUAAGUUCUUUCAAAUGGUACAAAUAUUGAUGCUAUUAUGGAGAAAAUAUUUGACGGGACAUAUAAUCUUUUUACACAGAGCAGUGAAUAUAUUUUUCAAAAUACCACAGCUGCAUCGUUAAUUCCAUCAGUCAUGGAUAGUCAAUCACUCCAAGGAGGGAAAAUAAUAAGGAUACUGAUGAAGCAACAAUAGUUUUUGGAGGUUUAGAGAAAAUUUAUUGUGAUGAAGAUACUAUUAAUGAACAAGCAGAAGGUGAUGGAAAUUCAUUGAAAAGCCUUGAGAUGAAGAAAUAAUAUAAUGUCGUGCACUUGAUCAAGUUCAGUCAACUGGUACGGAUGUUGCUACUAUCAUGCAAAAAGUAGUUUAUGGAACAUAUCAAAUUUCAACGCCAAGGUGCAGUAAAGAUAAUAAGGAAAACAGUGAAGUUGUGUCAUCAAUGCUGCCAGCCAUAUAUAUUCAAUCACUCCAUGAUGCACAAAACAAGAAAUGCAGUGAUCAAGGUGAACCAAGUGGUACAGAAGUAGUGAAAGGUCCUUUUUGUAAUGAGGAAAGAGCAGACUAUUGUCCAGAUAAAAUUGAUCUUACAACUGAUACUGAUAUUGAUUCUCUUAUUAGAAAAAUAAAUGAUGUGACAUAUGACACAUGGUAACCACAGUUCAAUCAAAAUAUUUUUCAAAUACUAUAAUUGCAAUCUCUCAGGGAAGUGGAACAUAUGUUGAAGCUAUUUUUCGCGCUAUUGAACAAGGAAAUAUAAUUUUGGAUUCACCUGAAGUGGAACAACAUAUUCUUAUAGUCAACGUGAAUGCACCAUUUGGACUAAAGGAAAGGAAACCUGAGUGUACUGGUCUGGCAUCUCUUUUUGAUAUAUGCAUGCAAGAAAGUAAAGGUAAUUUGGAAUGAAUUGAAAAGGUUGAAAGAAAAAGCACCUUUUGCUUGAAAAGAUUUAGCAGGUUAGAUUGCACAAUUUUAUUGUUUAUUUAACAAUUGUAAAAUAAUAUAAUGGACGUUAAUCUAUCCAUUUCUUUUUUGUUUAUUUGAAGCAGGAAAAACUGUUUUCUAGAAAAAGAAAGAGGAAAUAUGUGGAUUUGUGCCCAAAUGUUAAUAUUUUUACUCAACCAAUACAAUCAAGUUGAAAUGUAGUGGAUGAUGGACCUACCAACAUUAGUGGUGUUAUUGAUCGCGGCCCUACUGAACAAUCUGUUACUGCUGAUAUGCAGAAAAAUGAUUCAGACAAAAAGAUUGUUUUAUAUUCAAGUGUGGAUGAGGGAGUUUAUAUUUCUCCUCUUAAAAUUGAUAAGCAUGUUGCUAUUUGGAUGAUUAUUGUCAUGAUCCUAAAUCCACUAAUGGUCAAGAUGGCAACGGACAUCGCUGUCAGGCAAGCCAACCAAGUACUUAAUUAAAUUCUCAUUUUAAGUAUUUCCAAAAUCACUUCUCUUACAUUUAAACAAUACACAGUAAAUUCCUCUGAAUAAAUAAUGAAACAUUUAACAACUUUCAAAAUUUCUGAAUAAACCCGUAGACAUCAUAUAACCAGUGUCACAAGUGCAUGAGCAAUUUCUAAAAAAUAAUGUAAUACAACAACCGUCUGUAAUACAAUAUUGGACAAAAAUAAAUACAGUAAUCUAAAAAGACUUGCUGGCUGUGGGUCGUCUCAGAAAUGCAACUCACCUAAGUCUUUGUAUCAACCAUGCUACUAUGCUCACUAGUCCACUAGAGAUGCAUGUGCAUGUGCAACAAAAAUGCACAGAAGUAUAAUAUGAGUACGAAAAAAAACGUGUACCCUACGAGUAUCCCGUCUAAUCUCAAAAAAGUAAAGACGAGAUGAUCGAUUUCGACAGUUACUAGUGGUCCAAAGUAUAUUAUUAAUGUGAUUAAUCAUGGAUUUAUUAAUAAUGAAAGUAAUUACAAAUAAGUCACGAAUAGGAGAAAGUUCCUUUUUUAUAUUAAAGGUCUCCGGAUUCAUAAUCCAUUAGUUUUUCAAUUACCUCAAGUCGGGGAGAGAAAAUAUCGAUAUCAAUAAAUCUCAAGGCAAGCAAUACAAGCAUGCGCAAAUCAUGUCGAUGUCGUACGGCCCGAUCCAACAAUGUUUAAACUGUGCACUGCCAAAGGUCGAACGACACGAAUCAUAGAUGCAUCAAUUUAAUCUACCGAGACGUUCGACCCGUUCCAAAAAUAAACACACACAGACAGUCAAUUAAGAAGUCAACACGGAUCAAUUAUCUAAAGAAAGCCAAUCCUCUAUUAACCAUUUAAGAAAAUGAAGUUUAAUCUAUUUAGAAAUGCAUUUAGUAAUUCGAUUUGAUUUAAGCAAUUCAAGCUGUCAAUAAGAUUAGAAAUAAUCCAAGUAUAGCAUGCUUUUGGGUCUUAGACUGCCCGGAAGAUAGCAUAAUAGUAGCUACGCAUGGACUCACGUCACCUCGUGCGUACGUAGCCCCCACAAGUAGGAGCACAUAACCAAUUGACUCACAUAUGGGGAAAAUUCCCUCUUACAAGGUUAGAAAGAAGACUCACCUCACUCCGAAGAUCAAUAACCGGCAUUUCACGCCCUUCGAAAAAAUCGAAUCGAUGCAUAAUGCUCCAAAACUAGACAAUGAUUAUGAAAAUCCAUUAAUAUACAUUGAAUUACUCAUUACAAUCGAAUUUACAAUAAUUCCCAACCCAGAUCGAAAAGUUGACAAAAUUGCCCCAAUCUCACGUGCCUGGAUUUUGAAAUUUUUCGAAAAUAAACUUUACCCAUGAAUACAUGAGCUCAAAUAUAUGAUUUUCUCUUAAUUCAAUACCCAAAAUCGUGGUCAAAUUUCAAGAAUAUCAAUUUUCUAGGUUUUCCCUCAAACCCCAAGUUUUCUACAAAUUUUCAUGUUCAAAUCCGUAUAUAAUCAUUUAUUUAACUCAAGAAAGGUGGGGAUAGCUUACCUUAUCAUUGAUGAUGAAAAUCUUCUCUUGAAACCCUUCAAGAAUUGCCCAAGCCAAGAAAAAAAGAGAGGAAAUGGCCAAAAACCCAAUUUGAAAACACCCACUACCUCCAGCACUUUCUACACCUGCGUUCCCUUGACCGCUUCCGCGGUUCCGCAGGUGCGAGCCACAAUGCCACUUUUGCAGAUUCCUCCAGGCUCUCUUUCUCCGCUUCUACGCCUUCUCUUCCGCACAUGUGGUCCCGCAUCUACGGUUCAGCUCUCUUUCGCCAAUACUGCAUCUCCAGCUCUUCUUGUCGCUUCUGCAGCUCUGCACUUGCGUCCCAAUUCUCGCAGGUGCGGUUAUGACAGCAACAAGCAACUUCAGCCUUCUAAAAAUUCCAUUUUCGAUCCAUUAACCACCGAAAUCCACUCGAGGCCUCCCGGGACCCCAAUCAAUCAUACCAACCAGUCCCAAAACACAUUACAGACUUUGGAGGCCUCAAAUCAUAUCAAACAACGCUAAAACCACGAAUCGACCUCCAACCAAGCUUUAUGAACUUUAUAACUUCAAGAUUUUACUCUCAAUGUCUAAACCUAUAAAAUCACGUCCGAUUGACUUCAAAUUUUGCAUACAAGUCAUAUUUGACAUAACAGACCUACUCCAACUUUCAAAAUCCGAUUCCGACCCUAAUAUAAAAAGUCAACUUCCAGUCAAACUUCAAAUAAACCCUUACUUUUCUAUUUUAGCUAAAUGACUCCAAAAUGACCCACGGACCUCCGAAUUCACUUCCGAUCGAGCUCCCAACUCUAGAAUCACCAUACGGAGCUACUCCCAGACUCGAAAUCCCAAGCGGACAUCGAUAACACUGAAAUUCACUUCGAGCCAGACUUAUAAAAUUUUUUCCAAAAUUCUAACUUCCACAAUAGAUGCCAAAACGCUCCCGAGUCAUCCAUAACUCUAUCCAAGCAUACACCCAAGUCUGAAAUCAUCAUAUGAACUUGCUGGUACCUUCUAAUCCCAAUUUCGAGGUCAUUUACUUUGAAACACAUUCUUAGUUAAUUCUCCCAACUUAAAGCUUUCGAAUGAGAAUUAUCUUUCCAAAUCAACUCUAAUCUUUCUGAAAUUCAAUUUCGACCAUGCGUACAAGCCAUAAUACCUGAAAUGAAGCUGCUUGUGGACUCAGAUUGCUGAAUGACACGCUAGAGCUCAAAACAACCGAUCAGGUUGUUACAAUUAUUCUGAUCUGCAGUCCACAUUGAAAUCUGAAAUAAAAAGUAUAAAGGAGGUAGAAGGUGAAUAUGAAAAUCUAAAUGUUGCUUCCUAUAUAGGAAAAGAAGUUCUAGAAAAAGCAGAAGAAUUGCUUGGUAGAGGAAAAAAAAUCGUAAUUGUAACGGCCCGACCGGUCGUUUUGAGCUUUUGCACUUCGCUCGCCAGUUCUCAGGCAUGAAUUGCCCCAUGUGAUUUAUUAUGACUUACGUAAGUUAUUGGUUUUGGUUUUUGGGGUAACCCGAAUAAAUUUGGAAGAAUAGUUCUCAUCUUAAAGCUUAGAAUUUGAAAGGUUUGACCAAGAUUUGACUUGUUUGUAUAUGAUCUUGGACCAGAAUUUUUAUGAGUUGGUUAGCUCCGUUAGGUGACUUGGGACGUAGAAGCAUUAUCAGAAUGCUUUUUGGAAGUCCGGGGAAGGUCCAGUCUUGAAUUGGCAAAAUUGAGAUUUUGACGUUUUACAGUCGAUAGGUGAGAUUUUGAUAUAUAGGUCGGAAUGAAAUUUUGGAAGUUGAAGUACUUCCAUUGUGUCAUUUGGGAUGUGUGUACAAAAUUUCAGGUCAUUCGAACGUGGUAUGGUUAGGUUUUUGAUCAAAAGCGUACUUCGAAAGAUUUUAGAAACUUAGGCUUGGAUCUGAUGUGAUUUUGUAGAUUUGAUGUUUUAGAGGUGUUUUGAUGAUUGGAUCAAGUUCGAAUAAGGUAUUGGGUUAUGUUGGUGCUUUUGCUUAAGGUCGCGAGGGCCUCAGGAUGAUUUCGAAUGGUUGUCGCAGAGGUUGAGAUGUUUUGCAUUUGUUGUAGUUUUUGUUGCUUUUGGUGUUUUCGCACCUGCGGUUUGAGGACCGCAGGUGCGGUGCCGCACGUGUGGAAGGUGAGCCGCAGGAGCAUAUUCGAGAGGAAUAGUCAGUAACCGCUAUGCAGUAGAUGGGCCGCACCAGCAGAAUCGCAGAUGCGACAAGUGGACCGCAGAUGCGGUAUUUGGCCUUUAAGUGAUUUCCGCAGAAGCAGAGAAUCUGACCGCAUAUGUGGUGCCGUAGAAGCGAGUUUUGGACCGCAGAUACGUGUAUGCCUGGGUAAAACAUAUAAGUUAUUUCAUUUCGCGAGUUUGAGUUAUUCCACCAUUUUUAACUUCGGCUUGAGGGCUUUUGGACGAUUUGGAAGAUGGAUUUCAAGGGAACUUCAUUAAGGUAAGGAUUUUGGAACAAAAACACAUUUCUAUGGUAGUAUUUCAUGGAUUAAGGCUGUAAUCAAAGGAAUUAAAGGGCUAAAAAUGGGCGGGGAGGGGAUUACGGCUUGAGUUAAGAUGCCUUAAAAUGAGGACUUGAGGGGUCAUUUGAAUUCCGAUUUUAAUAUUCUUGAUAUGCAUAGACUCGUGGGGAGAUGAGGAAUAUAUUGAUUUUUGAUUUUUGAAAAAUUUCUGAUUUUUGAGACCUGGGCCUCGGGGUCAGGUAUUUGUAAUCUCGGGAUUUAUGCCCUUUAUUGAUUGUUUUCGCUGAGACUUUGUUCCCUUAGCAUAUUUGACAUCCUCGUUCUGAUUUUGAAUAGAUUAGACGCACAUGGAGGCCGAUUCGAGGGGCAAAAGUGUUGCGAGCUAGAGAUUUAAAUUGAUUAGAUCCAAGUCCCAUAUUUUUCUAUGGACCUGCGAGACCGCCAAAUCACGGGUCCAGGUCCGUUUUCCCAAAAUAUUGACCGAAGUAAAAUUUAUUCAUUAGCUUUUUCGGCUACAUGUCCGGACUGUGCACACAAAUCGAGGAGACUCCAAAUAGGGUUUUUAAGGCCUCUAAAACAACCAUUCGUCCUCGAAAGGACAGAAAUAGAAAGUACUUGAGUUGGGAAAAAGAUAAGGGCAACGGCUCCACAUAUCGGACACGGACUCCCAGGUUGAUGCCUCAGGAGGUUGGCCUCUCCACUGAACACGAACAGAAGGAAAACUCAUCAAUCUCAACUGACGAAUCUGUCAGUCUAGAAUAGCCACAUGCUCCUCCUUAUAAGACAAGUCCUUGUCCAACUGGACAGUGCUGAAAUCUAACACGUGGGAUGAAUCGCCGUGAUACUUCUGGAGCAUGGACGCAUGAACACUGGAUGCAUAUCUAAUAAGCUCGGCAGAAAUGCAAGUGUAUAAGCCACCUCUCCCACUCGAUCAAGGAUCUCAACGGACCAAUGAACCUAGGUCUAAGCUUUCCCCUCUACUCAAAUCUCAUCAUGUCCUUCAUAGGCAACACUUGGAACAACACCCACUCACCAACCAUAAAAGCCACAUCUCAAACCUUGUGGUCUACAUAAUUGUUUUUCCUGGACUGAGCUGUAUGAAGCCUGUCCUGAAUGAUCCUGACCUUGUCCAAGGCCUCCUGAACCAGAUACGUACCCAACAACCAAGCCUCCCCCGGCUCAAACCAUCCAACCGGAGUUUGACACCAACUACUAUAUAAAACCUUAUAAGGAUCCAUCAGGAUACUUGACUGGUAACUGUUAUUGUAGGAAAACUCUGCAAAAGGCAAAAACUGAUCCCCCGAGCCUCCAAAGUCAAUAACACAAGCUCGGAGCAUAUCCUCCAAAAUCUAAAUAGUCCGCUCGGACUGCCUGUUCAUCUGAGGAUGAAAUGCUGUGCUCAACUCAACCCGUGUACCCAACUCUCGCUGAACUGCUCUUUAGAAGCGCGAGGUAAACUGCAUACCCCGUGUCACACCUCCCUUUUACACACCCGAAGGUGAUACAAGAGAGUUUCUCCAAUUUAAGUGAAAUUAUUCGAAAUGAAAAUAUUUAUUCAAUUUUAUUCAGAGUCACCACUUGGGAUAGGUUUGUUUCGGGUGUCCCAAGUCACCGAUUUAUUUUAAAUCCCAAAUCGAGGAAAAUUCGACUUUCCUUAUGAAGUCUGCGAACCACAAAUUCUGAAUACGAAAUUCUGUUAACCCAGGGAAGGUAUUAGGCACUCCCAGAUUCCGUGGUUCUAGCACGGUCACUUAAACUAUCAUAAUUGGCCUAUUAUCUAAUUUUAAUACAUGUUUUUAGCCUAUGGUGUAAUUUUAAAUUAUUUACCGCUUUUAAUCAAUUUUAAGGAAGAUUGAACGUUGUUUAAAACAUGUCUUUGCAUCGCGUCACAUGAAAUGCACCUGCAAUCCGAAACACAUUUUGUUCAACGUUUUAGGAUUUGGAUUUGGGUCACAUGAAAUGCACACCCGAGUUUAGAAAAGUAAAUUAUUAAAAUACGCGCCUAAAGCAACUACGCGUUGGCAACUUUGCGAGGGCCAUGAAAAUUCGCUAAAUAGUACGCCUCGAUUUCUAAGGAUAUACAAGAUUAGUUAAACGAGCGCCAUGCAAUUAAAAAUUUAUUCGGCAUGGCACACCUCGAGUCAUGAAAAUUAGGCAUCGUAGCUAUGUCACGGGAACCAUACCCAUAACCACGAUGGUUUAUUAAACAUAAAUAAAUAAUGAAAUUCACUAAGUAGAGCUUAUAUAUUUAACAUAUAGUGUGAAAGAAAGUUAGAAAUGUUUUAAGAUCAGGAGGCAGUGCAACUACUUUUGCAUCACAGGUUUAAGAAUUCUAAAUUUUAGCAUAUACGAAAUAUCUAGCCCCAACGGAGUAGAAACGAAAUAACAGUUCUUCCACAUUUAAGAACAAAAAUCCUAGUGAUAUGUAGUUUCAUCAAAGUAUUCAAUGAAGUCAUAUUUCUGCAUUAAAACUUUCAAUUCCUCCCAUUAAUUUGGCAUUAGGAAGAAGAGAAACCACGUGGAAAAAGCGGAGCAGCAACAGUAUUAUCCACAUAAGCCUCAUCAUCGUCAAGUUCAAAUUUGAAUUAUCUUAAGCAAACUAAACAUGAUUCCUAAAGCAGACUUCAGAGACGAUUUUAGAUAUUAUACCCAGGCAAUGGUUUUUAAAAUCAGAAUUGACUUUAAAUUGACCAAAUUCAGUUGCUUAGCAUUCAUAGAUUUGUCACUUGUCACAUUCAAACAUGCCAACAUAUAGAUUUACACAAAUAGGCAUUUGAACUAAAUUUCACUUCAUUCAUAUACGAGUAAACACAAAGGAAACUCAGGGGUAUAUGUGUACCUAGUUUAGAAGUAGGAACAAGAGCUCGGAUAGCAGCAAAAUAAAGGGAGCUGUACAAGUUGUAGCUUAGCGGUGAACAGACAGCAGCAGCGGAUCGGCCCAGAAAAAAUUCGAAUAAAACCUUCGAUGGAAUUAGAAUUCGCCGGAAAAUUCAAAUUACACCGAAAGACUUGUCGGAACUUGGACCUCUUCUUUUUCAUUUCAUCUCGUUUUUUGCCUUUCCGCUAUGUAUCCUUUUUCUGUUUCUUUUGUGUGUGUUUUUUUCUAAUCUUUGAAGUAAAGAAGCUAAGAAUAUGUGUGGGUGUAUUUUUGGUUGGUUUUGUGGUUGAAAUUGAUGGAAAUCAGCUGGGUCUUUUAGUUCAAAGAUGGAGCUCACCUAGCUAAAAAUGUGCGUCGUUGCUCUCUUCUCCAGGGAAAGGUCUUCUCUUUAAUGUUUAUAUGAUCUGAUCUUAUAGCGAAUUAGGGAUUAGGUUUU
rnacentral:lncRNA from 1 species